GAUCAGCUGGCGCAGCUUCUGGCGAUCCAGUUCGUGGAACUGGGACAUCAGCUCGUUGAGGGCGCUGUCUCCCUCGCUGAUCA
rnacentral:tRNA from 1 species